GGAUCGAUAGCUCAGUCGGUAGAGCAACGGAUUGAAGCUCCGUGUGUCGGCAGUUCGAUUCUGUCCCGAUCCA
rnacentral:tRNA from 1 species